CCUCUCUCAGGGUUGCACCUGGAGAAUUUCCAGUACUCUACAGUCUCGACUAAAGGAGUGAGAGUCUAGCAGAGUCAUAUCCAUUCCAUUUCUAGCUUGGACAAUGGCUAGUGAAUGGAAGGCAAUCUGCUACAAGA